rnacentral:rRNA from 1 species
CUCCCUACGGGGCGCAGCAGUGGGGAAUAUUGGGCAAUGGACGCAAGUCUGACCCAGCAACGCCGCGUGAAGGAAGAAGGCUUUCGGGUUGUAAACUUCUUUUAAGGGGGAAGAGUAGAAGACGGUACCCCUUGAAUAAGCCACGGCUAACUACGUGCCAGCAGCCGCGGUAAUACGUAGGUGGCAAGCGUUGUCCGGAUUUACUGGGUGUAAAGGGAGCGUAGACGGUGAUGCAAGUCUGGAGUGAAAGGCGGGGGCCCAACCCCCGGACUGCUCUGGAAACUGUAUGACUUGAGUGCAGGAGA